CAGGGCUGUCAGUCUACUGAAAACCAUCUAGACCUUCAUCCACAGGAAGCAUGAAAUAUUUUGGAUAUUAGCUGCUUCUUAAAAUGACUAUAAAUUUCAACAAAUACCAAGAAAGACAACAACUUCAAACAAAAGUGGAAACACCUCACCACAACAACCAAAUCUUUCCAGAGCCUUUCAUCCAACAUUUCUGGAGUUUUACUGCACUCUCUAGUGCAGUUUUGGGAGCUAUAAAAAUCUGUUCAUUGUCAUUUAAUGUCACAAGUUAGAGUAAUUGCUUAUAUGCUGAAUUUUAAUAUUUGUGUUUUUGUUGUAAUUUAAAAGGAAUGUUAAAAAAAUGUUAUAAACUGCUGGAGCACA